rnacentral:misc_RNA from 1 species
UGAAGAGCGCCUGGGUCCUGUGCCA